GAUGAAGAACGUAGCGAAAUGCAAUACUUGGUGUGAAUUGCAGAAUCCCGUGAACCAUCGAGUUUUUGAACGCAAGUUGCGCCCGAAGCCGUUAGGCCGAGGGCACGCCUGCCUGGGUGUCACACAUCGUUGCCCCAAUGCCAAUCGCCUCACUUUGUAGGUAUUUGCUUGGGGUGAAUGUUGGCCUCCCGUGAGCUUUGUCUCACGGUUGGUUGAAAAUCGAGUGCAUGGUGUCGGGUGUACCAUGAUGGAUGGUGGUUGAGUGAUGAUGCUCGGUGACCCACAUGCGUCCCUUGGAUGCUCCCUAAGGAGACCUCAGGUCAGGCGGGGCUACCCGCUGAGUUUAAGCAUAUCAAUAAGCGGAGGA
rnacentral:misc_RNA from 1 species